UUUUGCAUGAGGCAUUUGGUGAGAGCUGGAUGAAGACAGAAGGUGUGGGUCUGAGCUGGGCCAGCAGCGUCCCCCACACGUGCCUGACCCUCUCUCUCUCCGGUUCCUGUAUCAGCGAAAGGAGUCUUGAGAUGCACCCUUGGAUGCUUUUUGCCUCUGUGGAAC
rnacentral:lncRNA from 1 species